rnacentral:lncRNA from 1 species
AUCUCCGCGCACAGUGGUGGCCACCGCGACUGGUGCUGAAGUGUCGGCGUGUGCCGGGCGCUCCGCUGGGACCCGGGUUGCUCGCCCUGAGUCUCAGCUUUCUCAUCUGUACGGUUGGGACAAGUACAGUAACCCUCGCCCGUCAAGACGGGCCAGGGCUGUGGCGAGGGUCCACGCCUUAGAGCAGGCACCUAUCUUGUGCAGGGCCCUGAGAUGGGGUCUGACUCAGUUCCUGCGGGGAACUUCACCAGUGACCCAGUCAGUGCCCUUCAGUUAAAGACCACCAGGAGCACACUUCAUUGCUGUUGGAAAGGCUGACGCCAAUCAAAACCAAUUUUUCCCUAAAGGAUGAUCUGUCUUCUCAUCAUUUUGACAGGAUGUAACAAAACAAAGGAGUCUUCAAUGUUGCUGGAGUGCAGUGGCAUGACCAUGGCUCACUACAGUCUUGAACUUUCAUGCUCAAGCUAUCCUCUGACCUUAGCCUCCUGAGUAGCUGGAACUACAGAUAUCAUGGAAAUCAGGACAGUAGCAGUUGGGAUUGUGGCAAUCAAAGGGGUGGAAAGUGAAUUCUAUCUUGCAACGAACGAGGAAGGAAAACUCUAUGCAAAGAAGGAAUGCAAUGAAGAUUGUAACUUCAAAGAUCUAAUUCUGGAAAACCAUUACAACACAUAUGCAGCAGCUAAAUGGACAAACAACGGAGGGGAAAUGUUUGUGGCCUUAAAUCAAAAGGGGAUUCCUGUAAGAGGAAAAAAAACAAAGAAAGAACAAAAAACAGCCCACUUUCUUCCUAUGGCAAUAACUUAAUUGCAUAUGGUAUAUAAAGAACCAGUUCCAGCAGGGAGAUUUCUUUAAGUGGACUGUUUUCUUUCUUCUCAAAAUUUUCUUUCCUUUUAUUUUCUAGUAAUCAAGAAAGGCUGGAAAACUACUGAAAAACUGAUCAAGCUGGACUUGCGCAUUUAUGUUUGUUUUAAGACACUGCAUUAAAGAGACAUUUGAAAAGUAUACACAAAAAUCAGAUUUAGUAACUAAAGGUUGUACAAAAUUGUAAAACUGGUUGUACAAUCAUGAUGUUAGUAAUAGUAAUUUUUUUCUUAAAUUAAUUUACCCUUAAGAGUAUGUUAGAUUUGAUUAUCUGAUAAUGAUUAUUUAAAUAUUCCUAUCUGCUUAUAAAAUGGCUGCUAUAAUAAUAAUAAUGCAGAUGAUGUUAUAUAAGGUAUAUCAGACCUACAGGCUGCUGGCAGGAUUUGUCAGAUAAUCAAGCCACACUAACUAUGGAAAAUGAGCAGCAUUUUAAAUGCUUUCUAGUGAAAAAUUAUAAUCUACUUAAACUCUAAUCAGAAAAAAAGAAUAUUCUCAAAAAAAUCUAUUAUGAAAGUCAAUAAAAUAGAUAAUUUAACAAAAGUACAGGAUUAGAACAUGCUUAUACCUAUUAACAAGAACAAAAUUUCUAAUGCUGCUCAAGUGGAAAGGGUAUUGCUAAAAGGAUGUUUCCAAAAAUCUUGUAUAUAAGAUAGCAACAGUGAUUGAUGAUAAUACUGUACUUCAUCUUACUUGCCACUAAAUAACAUUUUAUAAUUCCUCAAAGUAAAAUUGAGAAAUCUUUAAGUUUUUUUCAAGUAACAUAAUCUAUCUUUGUAUAAUUCAUAUUUGGGAAUAUGGCUUUUAAUAAUGUUCUUCCCACAAAUAAUCACGCUUUUUUCCUAUGGUUACUGCAUUAAACUCUAUAUUAAGUUGUUUUU